AAUAGAUACCCAGGUAGUCCACGCCGUAAACGUUGGAUACUAGGUGUGGCGGUUAUACCAAUGACUGCCGUGCCGAAGCUAACGCAUUAAGUAUCCCGCCUGGGGAGUACGGCCGCAAGGCUAAAACUCAAAGGAAUUGACGGGUCCCCGCACAAGCGGCGGAGCAUGCGGCUUAAUUCGAUGCAACCCGAAGAACCUUACCUGGGUUUGACACCACGGGAAAAGCUGUAGAAAUACAGUGUCCGUAAGGGCCCGUGACAGGUGGUGCAUGGCUGUCGUCAGCUCGUGUCGUGAGAUGUUGGGUUAAGUCCCGCAACGAGCGCAACCCUUGUCCUAUGUUGCCAGCAGGCCCCUGUGGUGCUGGGGACUCACGGGAGACCGCCGGGGUCAACUCGGAGGAAGGUGGGGACGACGUCAAGUCAUCAUGCCCCUUAUGUCUUGGGCUGCACACGUGCUACAAUGGCCGGUACAAAGAGCUGCGAUACCGUGAGGUGGAGCGAAUCUCAAAAAGCCGGUCUCAGUUCGGAUUGGGGUCUGC
rnacentral:rRNA from 1 species